CUCAGAGCGAUAUGUGUAGAUACACUAGUAGAAAAAAUGACAAAGGCACCCCAUCUUUGGCACCGGCUUUUGAAAACCGGUGGUGAAAAAAACGAGUGGGAUUGAAAAACAAGCUUUUGGUACCAGUUCUAGCUAAACCGGUGGCAAAUUAUCUUUUUGGCACCAGUUUGAACCGGUGCCAAAUAAAAAAGAUUUUUUUUGAAAAAAAAAGAGAAAGGGAUUUGGCACCAUUUCGGUUCGAACCGGUGCCAAAUGUAUUGUAAAAUAAAAAAAACCCCAGAUUUACUCUUUCUUUCUCUUGCUUUCAUUUCCUCCAUCUUUCCUCCUCUCUCAUCUGACUUGCCUCUCUCUCUCCUCCGUUGAAGCGUACUCGAAUUUCUCCAUUAAAGGGGCUUCUGAGCUUUCUCUCAGCACUUUCCUCAAACUCCUUCUCUCCUUCGAUCUCUAUAACCGCCACUUUCCCUUUCCUUUCAUCUCUCUUUUGAUCUCCUUCUCCUUCUCUCUUUGAGGUUAGGGUUUCUGGGUGUGUCUAUUUUGAAUCAAUUCGAUGUGCGUGCGUCUUCAACAAGAACAAAUUCGAAUCAAUUUUGAACGAAAAAUCAGAAAUUCGAGGUUAGGGUUUCUUGGUUAUUUAGCUUUGCGUUAUAUUGUAGCAGUUAUGAGCUUUCUCCUCCAUUGAAACAACUUCUGAGAUCUAAAUUCUUCAAAUCAAAGUUUGUGGCACCACCAAUCUAAUAUGUGAAAAUUAUCUACUUCGUAUCUCAGGUUUUUGGGGGUUACUCUGGGUUUUGGUUUGGUGAGACUAUUACAACAAUAAUCAUCGCCUUAAUUUUUGUGGUUAUGACAAUUCUUGCAUCUUUUUUAUACCUGCUGUGUUCUCAUGUGAGCGCUACAGAGGAUUCUACACCAAUCAGGAAAAGGAGCAGUCAAAUGGUGUCCUUGCAAUAUGUAUUGGCAGACCAGAUUAUUAGCCUUAUACUGUCUUAUGUGAUAUUAUCUUGGCAGGUUCUUUUCCUUUUCUAUCAACCUCAUUUUUUAAUUUAAUGUUCUUUUAUUUUAUCUCUUCAUGGAGUGCAAAGUUCCCUUCUCCCAAAAAAAUAGUACCCUCCUUAAAGGUGCAAUCGAAGAAAAAAGUCUUCUAAGAUGGAAGUAAUGUGCAAUAGAUGAGUAGAAUAAUAAAUUACUAUUUUAGAAGAUUGUCUUGUAUAGUACUUAAAAUAGCAUAAUUAAUUUCACAAUAGCUUUAGUGUUAUGGAGUAAUAUUAGUAACCAAAUGAAGCCAUGCCUCGUGUUA